UACAGAGGUGGCAAGCGUUGUUCGGAAUUACUGGGCGUAAAGGGCUCGUAGGCGGCCAACUAAGUCGGACGUGAAAUCCCUCAGCUUAACUGGGGAACUGCGUCUGGGACUGGAUGGCUUGAGUGCAGGAGAGGAACGCGGAAUUCCAGGUGUAGCGGUGAAAUGCGUAGAUAUCUGGAGGAACACCGGUGGCGAAGGCGGCGUUCUGGACUGCAACUGACACUGAGGAACGAAAGCCAGGGGAGCAAACGGG
rnacentral:rRNA from 1 species